AAUACAGAGCAAAAAAAAACAAAAAAGCAGGAGUUGCAAUCCAAGUCUAUGAUAAAAUAGUCAUUAAACCAACCAAGAUCAAAAGAGACAAAGAAGGACAUUACAUAAUGGUAAAAGGAACAAUGCAACAAGAAGAGCUAAUGAUCCUAAAUAUAUACACAUCCAAUACAGGAGCA